CAAGGGGGGAUUUGCAUAUAUCCCAUGAUGCACUUUACUUUCGAUCGCGUUCGAUUUUCCGCGCGAACGCCGGCAAACCCGGAACUGCAAAGCCCAAGAUGUAGGGCAUGGGCAUCUUCAAGAUGUUGGCCAUGUUGGACAGCAGCCAAGAGAAUUAGGUGGGUAAUUUUCGUCAUUUUUUAGAGUUCGGGAAUUGUAGUUUUCCAUGAAAAGUGUUGAUGUGUGUGAUACCCGAGGAACAUGUUUAAUUUUGAGGUAAAUGCCGAUAGACUUCUCAUGCGUAAAUCCCGUUGUCGCAUGUUGGAGAUUUGCAUAUAGUGCUAUCAAAUCUUCCGCAUUGGUUAAUCAAAUAGUGGUGCUUUUUAAAAAAAAGUGUAGUUUACGUAUGGUAGAUUGAUUGUGUGUCUAAAAAAACGAAAAGCACCAAAAAGCACUCAUAGGAAGAUCACGAAAACAGCCGCGCAGGAUCGCAUGGUUGGUCGUGUUUACAUACGCCUGACAGUCGCGCGGAGGCCCUUUAAACUCAUUAACAUAUGCAAAUAAGCCGGUAAAGAAAAGAUGGCGGACACGUAAACAAACACGAACGCGCCGUAGUUUUACCUUCCUAAAGCAAUUUAGAAAGUUUGGAAAGAUUGUUACAGUAUGGGGACUUAGCAGACAUUCAGGGAAAACCUAUUCAAACGGAAAAUGUUGUUGGUUGGACUGGAAACUCGCUUAAAAUGCGGAGUCAUGAUGUCAACUCCAUCAACGCCCCAAAAGAGGCCACAUGUUGGCGGGAGUGGUCACACCCCGUCUGGGAAGAGGAGGCAGCACAAACAUGGAAAGAAAGAUGGAGGAGCUCGCCGACCUCUCUCUUUCCUAAGUCCUAAGAUAACACGAUCUUUGGGGCACAUGCUCACCCCAAAGAUUCAACUGGCCAAGUCCCCUCGGCCUGUGAAACACCAUCAGUGGACUGAUAAGGAGGACAAGGCAUUGAUCCAGUUUUUGGAUCUAAGCCACCUUGAUCAGGAUGAAAAUGUCACUGACACAGCAUCCUGGCCAAUGAGGCACGCUAACAGUCCCUUUUGGACAGAGGCUGCAACAUCAAUCAAGACGGCAA